rnacentral:rRNA from 1 species
ACGGGAUUCCCUUAGUAACGGCGAGCGAAGUGGGAAUUAGCCCAGGUCUGAAAUCUCCUGGCUGGCUUUGUUACAGUCGGGCGAAUUGUGGUCUGGAGAGGCAGACUGUCCCGAUCCACUGCUUCUGAGCCCGAAGUUGACUUGGAACGGCACGCCAAAGAGGGUGAGAGCCCCGUAGGGCCUGGAAAUCGGGAGCGGCGGGACGAGGGUCUGUCCUCGUAGAGUCGGGUUGUUUGGGAAUGCAGCCCCAAGUGGGUGGUAGACUCCAUCCAA